GUCAACUACCCACGGCUAAAGCCGAGGGCUUGAAACCCUUAGUUGACUAGCCUAAGCACUGUGAGUGCUACGUUACCCGUGAAUAUAUAGGUAUCUUGGGGUACUCCUCCAGCUCCAAGCACUACGGCUGGUGAUUAAACAGUUCUGAGGGGUAAGAACAGUGUUGCCAGUAAAAACUACGGGGUAACAUUGGCGAGGAGGUUUAACGGGAGAAAUCCCG
rnacentral:ncRNA from 1 species